AGUGAACGCUGGCGGUAGGCCUAACACAUGCAAGUCGAACGGCAGCACAGUAAGAGCUUGCUCUUACGGGUGGCGAGUGGCGGACGGGUGAGGAAUACAUCGGACUCUACUUUUUCGUGGGGGAUAACGUAGGGAAACUUACGCUAAUACCGCAUACGACCUACGGGUGAAAGCAGGGGAUCUUCGCACCUUGCGCGAUUGAAUGAGCCGAUGUCGGAUUGGCUAGUUGGCGGGGUAAAGGCCCACCAAGGCGACGAUCCGUAGCUGGUCUGAGUGGAUGGUCGGCCACACUGGAACGGGGACACGGUCAAGACUCCUACGGGAGGCAGCAGUGGGGAAUAUUGGACAAUGGGCGCAAGCCUGAUCCAGCCAUACCGCGUGGGUGAAGAAGGCCUUCGGGUUGUAAAGCCCUUUUGUUGGGAAAGAAAAGCAGCAGGUUAAUACCCCGCUGUUCUGACGGUACCCAAAGAAUAAGCACCGGCUAACUUCGUG
rnacentral:rRNA from 1 species